GCCUCAGUAGUGUAGUGGUAGCACGCGCCCAUGGCAUGGGUGAAAAGAGGGUUCAACUUCCGCCUGGGGUC